AUACAGGUGGUGCAUGGUUGUCGUCAGCUCGUGUCGUGAGAUGUUGGGUUAAGUCCCGCAACGAGCGCAACCCUUGUCUUUAGUUACCAUCAUUCAGUUGGGGACUCUAGAGAGACUGCCGGUGAUAAACCGGAGGAAGGUGGGGAUGACGUCAAAUCAUCAUGCCCCUUAUGGCCUGGGCUACAAACGUAAUACAAUGGCGUAUACAAAGGGAUGCGAAAGGGCGACCUGGAGCAAAACUCACAAAGUACGUCUCAGUUCAGAUUGGAGUCUGCAACUCGACUCCAUGAAGGCGGAAUCGCUAGUAAUCGCGGAUCAGCAUGCCGCGGUGAAUACGUUCUCGGGUUU
rnacentral:rRNA from 1 species